UGCCAAUUGAUUUUUUUCUUCUCUAGGAGGACAGAAUUUGGGAUGACAAACAUUGCUGCUUUACAUGCAACCAAACAUGCAUUCCCAGGGUCUCCAGUGUCAACAUCACCAUUGAUAACUGUACCACAGUCAUACAGAUGCCUGUCUGUCAGGGACAGUGUACAUCUCAGCCAAGAGUUGUGUUACAGGGUGACCUGCUAGUCCAGCAGGAGAGCAGAUGCUGUCAGGAAGACCUCUCAGAAUGGAGAUCACUGACCCUGCGUUGCUUUGACCUUACUGCCAGAUAUUACACCUACAAUCAUGUCACUAGUUGUGUGUGCAGAAUUUGUAGCAAAUAGCUGAAAAAUGCAGCAACAAAUAAAGCUGAAACCUAUAGAUUCACCAUCAAAAA